GUUGAACGCUGGCGGCAGGCCUAACACAUGCAAGUCGAACGAGCGGCGGACGGGUGAGUAAUGUCUGGGAAACUGCCUGAUGGAGGGGGAUAACUACUGGAAACGGUAGCUAAUACCGCAUAACAUCCGCUGUGCCCAGAUGGGAUUAGCUAGUAGGUGGGGUAACGGCUCACCUAGGCGACGAUCCCUAGCUGGUCUGAGAGGAUGACCAGCCACCCGGGAACUGAGACACGGUCCAGACUCCUACGGGAGGCAGCAGUGGGGAAUAUUGCACAAUGGGCGAAAGCCUGAUGCAGCCAUGCCGAGUGUAUGAAGAAGGCCGUCGGGUUGUAAAGUACUUUCAGCGGGGAGGCGUUACCCGCAGAAGAAGCACCGGCUAACUCCGUGCCAGCAGCCGCGGUAAUUC
rnacentral:rRNA from 1 species